rnacentral:RNase_P_RNA from 1 species
UGAGCCGGCUGGGCAGUCGCGCGGAGAGAUCCGUGAGGAAAGUCCGAGCCCCAUAGAGCGGGAUAGCGGCCAACGGCCGCCGAGGGUGACCUUAGGGAAAGUGCAACAGAGAGAUACCGCCAUGCUGGACUUAAAGUCUAGCAUGGUAAGGGUGGAAAGGCGAGGUAAGAGCUCACCGGCGCGCGGGGAACCGCGCCGCCCUGCAAACCCUAUCCGGAGCAACACCGGCCGGGGAAGCAACUACGCUGUGCGUAUUGCGGCGCUUGCUCGGCGCUCAACCCCAACGGGUGGCAGGACCGUAUCAGCAAUGGUGCGGCAAGAUAAAUGAUUGCCUUCAAUGACAAAACUCGGCUUACAGGCCGGCUCACAAC